AAUCAAAAAGAUAUAUGCAUCCAUAAACAAAGGAUGAGACAGAAGAACAAAAAGUAAAGAGACUCCAACAUAGCAUGCAUGCUAUAGAAUCAAUCAAAUUAACAAACUCCAAAAAUUUAAUAUAUAAAACCGGCAAAAUAUCAUGCAUGCAGAGAUCGAAGAACACAAAUGGAUACAGCAUAACAAGCUCAUCUUGAAUUCUCACUCUCAUCCAUGAAUCAAAGGAUGAAAAAGGCGGAAGAACAAGCAUAAAUCGAAAUCUCAUGAACUCGCCCAACAGCGCAAAUCCAAAAAU
rnacentral:misc_RNA from 1 species